AUCUACCCCUUGGUUCGGAAUAACAGUUGGAAACGACUGCUAAUACCGGAUGAUGACGUAAGUCCAAAGAUUUAUCGCCGAGGGAUGAGCCCGCGUAGGAUUAGGUAGUUGGUGUGGUAAAGGCGCACCAAGCCGACGAUCCUUAGCUGGUCUGAGAGGAUGAUCAGCCACACUGGGACUGAGACACGGCCCAGACUCCUACGGGAGGCAGCAGUGGGGAAUAUUGGACAAUGGGCGCAAGCCUGAUCCAGCAAUGCCGCGUGAGUGAUGAAGGCCUUAGGGUUGUAAAGCUCUUUUACCCGGGAUGAUAAUGACAGUACCGGCAGAAUAAGCUCCGGCUAACUCCGUGCCAGCAGCCGCGGU
rnacentral:rRNA from 1 species